rnacentral:rRNA from 1 species
UAAUACGUAGGUGGCAAGCGUUGUCCGGAUUUACUGGGCGUAAAGCGCGCGCAGGCGGCUGAUUAAGUCCGAUGUGAAAUCUCCCGGCUCAACCGGGAGCGGUCAUUGGAUACUGGUCGGCUUGAGGGAGGCAGAGGAGAGUGGAAUUCCCGGUGUAGUGGUGGAAUGCGUAGAUAUCGGGAGGAACACCAGCGGCGAAGGCGGCUCUCUGGGCCUUUCCUGACGCUGAGGCGCGAAAGCGUGGGGAGCAAACCGGAUUAGAUACCCGGGUAGUCCACGCUGUAAACGAUGGACACUAGGUGUGGGGGGUAUCGACCCCCUCCGUGCCGAAGCUAACGCGAUAAGUGUCCCGCCUGGGGAGUACGGCCGCAAGGCUA